rnacentral:rRNA from 1 species
CCUACGGGACGCAGCAGUGAGGAAUAUUGGUCAAUGGACGAGAGUCUGAACCAGCCAAGUAGCGUGAAGGAUGACUGCCCUAUGGGUUGUAAACUUCUUUUAUAUGGGAAUAAAACAGGGUAUGCAUACCCUCUUGUAUGUACCAUAUGAAUAAGGAUAGGCUAACUCCGUGCCAGCAGCCGCGGUAAUACGGAGGAUCCGAGCGUUAUCCGGAUUUAUUGGGAUUAAAGGGAGCGUAGGUGGAUUGUUAAGUCAGUUGUGAAAGGUUGCGGCUCAACCGUAAAAUUGCAGUUGAAACUGGCAGUCUUGAGUCCAGUAGAGGUGGGCGGAAUUCGUGGUGUAGCGGUGAAAUGCUUAGAGAUCACGAAGAACUCCGAUUGCGAAGGCAGCUCACUGGACUGCAACUGACACUGAUGCUCGAAAGUGUGGGUAUCAAACAGGAUUAGAUACCCGAGUAGUC